UACAGAGGAGCCAAGCGUUGUCCGGAUUGACUGGGCGUAAAGCGCACGCAGGCGGUCGCGCGCGUGGGGUGUGAAAUCUGGCCGCUUAACGGCCAGGCGCCAUCCCAUACGGCGCGACUGGAGGGCUGCAGAGGUCGAUGGAAUUGCCGGUGUAGUGGUGAAAUGCGUAGAGAUCGGCAGGAACACCCCAGGGGGAAACCAGUCGACUGGGCAGCACCUGACGCUGAGGUGCGAGAGCGGUGGGGAGCGAACCGG
rnacentral:rRNA from 1 species